GCAGAACGCGAAGAACCUUACCAAGGCUUGACAUGGAUUUCUAAGCACGUGAAAGCGUGUGACCCGUUCGGGGGACUUCCACAGGUGCUGCAUGGCCGUCGUCAGCUCGUGUCGUGAGAUGUUGGGUUAACGUCCCGCAACGAGCGACAACCCCUGUGAUCAGUUGCCAGCGAGUAAUGGUCGGGGACUCUGGUCAGACUCGCCCAGAUCAACGUGGGAGGAAGGUGGGGACGACGUCAGGUCAGUAUGGCCCUUACGCCUUGGGCUGCACACGUACUACAAUGCCCCAGCACAAUGAGAACCGAGACCGCGAGGUGGAGGAAAUCUGUAAAACUGGGCCCAGUUCGGAUUGGAGGCUGCAACUCGCUUCCAUGAAGCCGGAAUCGCUAGUAAUGCGGCAUCAGCUACGGCCGCGUGAAUACGUUCCCGGGUCUUGUACACACCG
rnacentral:rRNA from 1 species